CCCUGUGGCUCAGUUGGUAGAGCAUGGUGUUUGCAACGCCAGGGUUGUGGGUUCGAUUCCCACAGGGG
rfam:Salmo salar isolate Sally breed double haploid chromosome ssa11, whole genome shotgun sequence.